AUGAGACUUACCCGCCGGAGACGAGUCUGGCGCUCCUUCAAACAUGAGGAUGAUAACGAUAAAACCCAAAGGAAACAGAAUCCCAGGUAUUUCCGCCUCCUUCUUAUUCCACUUUCUGAAUUUUUCCCUCUUAUGGUUUUGAUUACCUUCUUCUGUUACUACGCAACGUUGUUACUAAUUGCUGCUACUGGAAUUAUCAUUGAUUGCAUAUUGGCAUUGCCAUCGCGAUGUUGUGGAAGUUGUCGUUGUAUAUUGAUUAUGAUGGAAGGCCGAGAAGAUAAAGAUUGCAGGGUGAAGAUGUUGAAGGCCUCAAACAUGAUGUCGAGAUAG